GUGUUGUUGGGUAGGGGAGCGUUCUGUAAGCCUGCGAAGGUGGCCUGUGAGGGCUGCUGGAGGUAUCAGAAGUGCGAAUGCUGACAUAAGUAACGAUAAUGCGGGUGAAAAACCCGCACGCCGGAAGACCAAGGGUUCCUGUCCAACGUUAAUCGGGGCAGGGUGAGUCGACCCCUAAGGCGAGGCUGAAAAGCGUAGUCGAUGGGAAACAGGUUAAUAUUCCUGUACUCGGUGUUACUGCGAAGGGGGGACGGAGAAAGCUAGGUUAUCCGGGCGACGGUUGUCCCGGUUUAAGCGUGAAGGUGGGUGACUUUGGUAAAUCCGGGUCAUCAUUAACACUGAGGCGUGAUGACGAGUCACUACGGUGAUGAAGUAACCGAUGCUACGCUUCCAGGAAAAGCCUCUAAGCUCCAGGUAACAUCAAAUCGUACCCCAAACCGACACAGGUGGUCAGGUAGAGAAUACUCAGGCGCUUGAGAGAACUCGGGUGAAGGAACUAGGCAAAAUGGUGCCGUAACUUCGGGAGAAGGCACGCUGAUGGUAGGUGAAGUGACUUGCUCAUGGAGCUGAAAUCAGUCGAAGAUACCAGCUGGCUGCAACUGUUUAAUAAAAACACAGCACUGUGCAAACACGAAAGUGGACGUAUACGGUGUGACGCCUGCCCGGUGCCGGAAGGUUAAUUGAUGGGGUCAGCCGCAAGGCGAAGCUCUUGAUCGAAGCCCCGGUAAACGGCGGCCGUAACUAUAACGGUCCUAAGGUAGCGAAAUUCCUUGUCGGGUAAGUUCCGACCUGCACGAAUGGCGUAAUGAUGGCCAGGCUGUCUCCACCCGAGACUCAGUGAAAUUGAACUCGCUGUGAAGAUGCAGUGUACCCGCGGCAAGACGGAAAGACCCCGUGAACCUUUACUAUAGCUUGACACUGAACCUUGAGCCUUGAUGUGUAGGAUAGGUGGGAGGCUUUGAAGCGUGGACGCCAGUCUGCGUGGAGCCAACCUUGAAAUACCACCCUUUAAUGUUUGAUGUUCUAACGUGGACCCGUAAUCCGGGUUGCGGACAGUGUCUGGUGGGUAGUUUGACUGGGGCGGUCUCCUCCCAAAGCGUAACGGAGGAGCACGAAGGUUAGCUAAUCCUGGUCGGACAUCAGGAGGUUAGUGCAAAGGCAUAAGCUAGCUUGACUGCGAGAGUGACAGCUCGAGCAGGUGCGAAAGCAGGUCUUAGUGAUCCGGUGGUUCUGAAUGGAAGGGCCAUCGCUCAACGGAUAAAAGGUACUCCGGGGAUAACAGGCUGAUACCGCCCAAGAGUUCAUAUCGACGGCGGUGUUUGGCACCUCGAUGUCGGCUCAUCACAUCCUGGGGCUGAAGUAGGUCCCAAGGGUAUGGCUGUUCGCCAUUUAAAGUGGUACGCGAGCUGGGUUUAGAACGUCGUGAGACAGUUCGGUCCCUAUCUGCCGUGGGCGUUGGAAGAUUGAGAGGGGUUGCUCCUAGUACGAGAGGACCGGAGUGAACGCACCACUGGUGUACGGGUUGUGAUGCCAAUUGCAUUGCCCGGUAGCUAAGUGCGGAAGAGAUAACCGCUGAAAGCAUCUAAGCGGGAAACUUGCCUCGAGAUGAGUCUUCCCUGGGUACUUGAUACCCCUGAAGGGCCGUUGAAGACGACGACGUAGAUAGGCUGGGUGUGUAAGCGUAGCGAUACGUUGAGCUAACCAGUACUAAUGACCCGAGAGGCUUAACCUUACAACACCGAAGGUGUUU
rnacentral:rRNA from 2 species